rnacentral:lncRNA from 1 species
UUUUAUUUAAGGAAAGUGCAAAACAUUUUUUGGUACGUUAUUUAUCAAUUCGAUAGUUAGUUUAAUAAAAAGUGUAAUAUAAGUUAAGAUGGACCAACCUAUUUUUCUAGGAAUAGUAUAUUUUGUAUAGUUAUUUAUUAAAUAAUAAUUUAUAAUCAUACGGUUCUAUGAUCGUUCAUAUCGUUUUAUAACAAAAUAUUUAAAUCAUCGAUAACAAAAUUUUC